rfam:Triticum aestivum genome assembly, contig: Triticum_aestivum_CS42_TGACv1_scaffold_591812_7BS
CAAAUACUCCCUCUGUCCCAAAUUUCUUGUCUUAGAUUUCUCUAGAUAAAAUUAAUCUGUGAGUUGAUACAUCUGUAUCUAGACAAAUCUAAGGCAAGAAUUUUGGGACGGAGGGAGUACUUU